AGAUAAUAGAUACCCUGGUAGUCCACGCCGUAAACGAUGAGUGCUAAGUGUUAGAGGGUUUCCGCCCUUUAGUGCUGCAGCUAACGCAUUAGGCACUCCGCCUGGGGAGUACGGUCGCAAGACUGAAACUCAAAGGAAUUGACGGGGGCCCGCACAAGCGGUGGAGCAUGUGGUUUAAUUCGAAGCAACGCGAAGAACCUUACCAGGUCUUGACAUCCUCUGACAACUCUAGAGAUAGAGCGUUCCCCUUCGGGGGACAGAGUGACAGGUGGUGCAUGGUUGUCGUCAGCUCGUGUCGUGAGAUGUUGGGUUAAGUCCCGCAACGAGCGCAGCCCUUGAUCUUAGUUGCCAGCAUUUAGUUGGGCACUCUAAGGUGACUGCCGGUGACAAACCGGAGGAAGUGGGGAUGACGUCAAAUCAUCAUGCCCCUUAUGACCUGGGCUACACACGUGCUACAAUGGAUGGUACAAAGGGCUGCAAGACCGCGAGGUCAAGCCAAUCCCAUAAAA
rnacentral:rRNA from 1 species